AACGCUAGCUACAGGCUUAACACAUGCAAGUUGAGGGGCAGCAUGGUCUUAGCUUGCUAAGGCCGAUGGCGACCGGCGCACGGGUGAGUAACACGUAUCCAACCUGCCGUCUACUCUUGGACAGCCUUCUGAAAGGAAGAUUAAUACAAGAUGGCAUCAUGAGUCCGCAUGUUCACAUGAUUAAAGGUAUUCCGGUAGACGAUGGGGAUGCGUUCCAUUAGAUAGUAGGCGGGGUAACGGCCCACCUAGUCUUCGAUGGAUAGGGGUUCUGAGAGGAAGGUCCCCCACAUUGGAACUGAGACACGGUCCAAACUCCUACGGGAGGCAGCAGUGAGGAAUAUUGGUCAAUGGGCGAGAGCCUGAACCAGCCAAGUAGCGUGAAGGAUGACUGCCCUAUGGGUUGUAAACUUCUUUUAUAAAGGAAUAAAGUCGGGUAUGCAUACCCGUUUGCAUGUACUUUAUGAAUAAGGAUCGGCUAACUCCGUGCCAGCAGCCGCGGUAAUACGGAGGAUCCGAGCGUUAUCCGGAUUUAUUGGGUUUAAGGGAGCGUAGAUGGAUGUUUAAGUCAGUUGUGAAAGUUUGCGGCUCAACCGUAAAAUUGCAGUUGAUACUGGAUAUCUUGAGUGCAGUUGAGGCAGGCGGAAUUCGUGGUGUAGCGGUGAAAUGCUUAGAUAUCACGAAGAACUCCGAUUGCGAAGGCAGCCUGCUAAGCUGCAACUGACAUUGAGGCUCGAAAGUGUGGGUAUCAAACAGGAUUAGAUACCCUGGUAGUCCACACGGUAAACGAUGAAUACUCGCUGUUUGCGAUAUACGGCAAGCGGCCAAGCGAAAGCGUUAAGUAUUCCACCUGGGGAGUACGCCGGCAACGGUGAAACUCAAAGGAAUUGACGGGGGCCCGCACAAGCGGAGGAACAUGUGGUUUAAUUCGAUGAUACGCGAGGAACCUUACCCGGGCUUAAAUUGCAGAUGAAUUACGGUGAAAGCCGUAAGCCGCAAGGCAUCUGUGAAGGUGCUGCAUGGUUGUCGUCAGCUCGUGCCGUGAGGUGUCGGCUUAAGUGCCAUAACGAGCGCAACCCUUGUUGUCAGUUACUAACAGGUCAUGCUGAGGACUCUGACAAGACUGCCAUCGUAAGAUGUGAGGAAGGUGGGGAUGACGUCAAAUCAGCACGGCCCUUACGUCCGGGGCUACACACGUGUUACAAUGGGGGGUACAGAGGGCCGCUACCACGCGAGUGGAUGCCAAUCCCAAAAACCUCUCUCAGUUCGGACUGGAGUCUGCAACCCGACUCCACGAAGCUGGAUUCGCUAGUAAUCGCGCAUCAGCCACGGCGCGGUGAAUACGUUCCCGGGCCUUGUACACACCGCCCGUCAAGCCAUGGGAGCCGGGGGUACCUGAAGUGCGUAACCGCGAGGAGCGCCCUAGGGUAAAACUGGUGACUGGGGCUAAGUCGUAACAAGGUAGCCG
rnacentral:rRNA from 1 species